GACGAACCGAGCGAACGUUGUUCGGAAUCACUGGGCUUAAAGGGCGCGUAGGCGGGCUGCCGCGUCCGGGGUGAAAGCCCCCCGCUCAACGGGGGAACGGCCUCGGAUACGGGCGAUCUCGAGGGGGGUAGGGGCACCUGGAACUGUGGGUGGAGCGGUGAAAUGCGUUGAUAUCCACAGGAACUCCGGUGGCGAAGGCGAGGUGCUGGACCCCAUCUGACGCUGAGGCGCGAAAGCCAGGGGAGCGAAC
rnacentral:rRNA from 1 species